ACCUGGCUGGCUCAGUCAGUAGAGUGUGGGACUCUUGAUCUCAGGGCUGUGAGUUCGAGCCCCAUGUUGGGUG
rnacentral:tRNA from 1 species